AAAAAUUCCCAGAGAUCUUGGAGCCAAUGGAACAUUUGGUGUCUCUUCGUUUGCAAGGGACAGCUGUCAAAAUGCUUCCUUCGUCUAUUGGAAAUCUAAUUACUCUUCAAACUUUAGACCUUAGUGGCUGCAAGCACCUUGUGAGUCUACCAACCAACAUUUGUAGGUUGAAAAAUCUGAAGGAACUCAAUCUCUAUGGCUGCUUUGAACUUGAAAAAUUCCCAGAGAUCUUGGAGCCAAUGGAACAUUUGGUGUCUCUUCGUUUGCAAGGGACAGCUGUCAAAAUGCUUCCUUCGUCUAUUGGAAAUCUAAUUACUCUUCAAACUUUAGACCUUAGUGGCUGCAAGCACCUUGUGAGUCUACCAACCAACAUUUGUAAGUUGAAAAAUCUGAAGGAACUCAAUCUCUAUGGCUGCUCUGAACUUGAAAAAUUCCCAAAGAUCUUGGAGCCAAUGGAACAUUUGGUGUCUCUUCGUUUGCAAGGGACAGCUGUCAAAAUGCUUCCUUCGUCUAUUGGAAAUCUAAUUAGUCUUCCAACUUUAGACCUUAGUGGCUGCAAGCACCUUGUGAGUCUACCAACCAACAUUUGUAAGUUGAAAAAUCUGAAGCAACUCAAUCUCUCUGGCUGCUUUGAACUUGAAAACUUCCCAGAGAUCUUGGAGCCAAUGGAACAUUUGGUGUCUCUUUGUUUGCAAGGGACAGCUGUCAAAAUGCUUCCUUCGUCUAUUGGAAAUCUAAUUAGUCUUCAAACUUUAGACCUUUGUGGCUGCAAGCACCUUGUGAAUCUACCAACCAACAUUUGUAAGUUGAAAUAUCUGGAGGAACUCAAUCUCUCUGGCUGCUCUGAACUUGAAAACUUCCCAGAGAUCUUGGAGCCAAUGGAACAUUUGGUGUCUCUUAGUUUGCAAGGGGCAGCUGUCAAAAUGCUUCCUUCGUCUAUUGGAAAUCUAAUUAGUCUUCAAACUUUAGACCUUCGUGGCUGCAAGCACCUUGUGAGUCUACCAACCAACAUUUGUAAGUUGAAAUAUCUGGAGGAACUCAAUCUCUCUGGCUGCUCUGAACUUGAAAACUUCCCAGAGAUCAUAAAGCCAAUGGAACAUUUGAAGUACUUAAAUUUAAGUGGAACAACGGUUA
rnacentral:lncRNA from 1 species